rnacentral:sRNA from 1 species
ACUUUGCUUCUCAAAAAAAUAUGUAUUUUACUUAUAGUUUCGACUUCACAGAUACUCAAUUAUUAAUCAGUAUUUUUAGGUGAAACAGAAAACCAUAAGAGAAACCCUAGGUAUCCAAAAAUAGGAGAUUAAUACUGCUUAAAAUUUUCCUAUUUCAACUUAACAAAAUAAAUAUCUUUCUUCAGUAAGGUGUUGUUCGAAGUGUUUUAAUAGCCAUCAUCCUGAAUUUUUUUUAGUUGGUUAUUUUCCAAUACAGGCAACAUAACUUCUUUAAAUUUAACCAGGAAUUAAAAACUUCCAUUUUAACAAUAUAACAUUUUCUUGGUGUCUUUCUGUGUAAGAGUAGUAACAUUUAUACCUUCUCGUUGCUUGUGGUUGUUCUAACAAUAAAUUAUAUGAAUUUCUUUGGAAGUUGAUUGUGAAGAAAAUGACUAAGAAAACUUUUUUUUUUCUUUUAGGUUGAUGGAAAUCACAAUCUUCUGACAAAGCUUUCUCUGGAAGAGGAAAACUAUCUUAUUCAGUUGAAGUGUGAAAACCUUCAACAAAAAUUAGAACAGAUGGACGCAGAAAAUAAAGAGCUUGAGAAGAAGCUGGCAAACCAAGAAGAAUGUCUUAAGCACAGCAAUCUUAAGUUUAAAGAGAAAUCUGCAGAGUAUACAGCAUUGGCCAGACAACUGGAAGCCGCUUUAGAAGAAGGAAGACAAAAGGUUGCUGAAGAAAUAGAGAAAAUGUCAUCUAGAGAGAGUGCUUUACAAAUUAAAAUAUUAGAUCU